UAAAACUUAAAAAAACAUAGUUUAAAUUUUUGUGGAAGUUUGGAGGGAUAAAAUGAACAUAUUUGUUGUUGAUGAAAAUAAGAAGUGAGAAUGGGAUUUGAAGAGUUUAAAGCAAUCUACGCACAACCAAAAGUCGAGUGCUCAUCGUCAGAUUACCCAUUCUUGAUGCAUAUAUUCGCUCCCGAUGACUCUCAUCUCCAAAUUUGCGCUACUGAUUUCCACUCCAAUACUUUCGCCGCUGUUAAAUCACUUGAGCAGCUCGACGACAUGAGGGAUAGUAUUGGAAUUGGGGGCUCCUGGUCUGAGUUUAUUGACUACCUUGUAGCUUCUCUUCAAUCUGAGGAUCUUAAGCUUAUGCUCCACAACCCUGGCGGUGUAGCAUCUGCUAAAUUAGUGGCUCAGAAAUCUAAAGGAAUGCCUCUCAUUUCUGUUUCUCUCCCAAAACUUACGGAUUCCGCUGCAAAUGAUGCUAUAGCUCGUUUAUCUUUCGCCCUCUUCAACACACUCAAAGGUAACGAAUGUGCAUCAAUGUUGACAAAAGUGGUAUCAGUUGAAAAGGAUGCUAGUAUCCAGAGCCAAGCGGAAAAGAGGCAAAAGUCAGGAAAGAUGAACUCUUCAGACAAUGGAUCACAAAAUCCCCCAGACAAGCGAUCAGCUCAAGAUCCAACAUCAAAGAAAGUUACUAACCGUGUUGUACCCGCAUACCGCAGGGCAAAAGUAAGAGGCGCGUUACUGCAGGACACCGAGGAUGACAAAGAUAACUAGAACCUGAGCUGUUAGUUUAUGUUAUCAUAUUUCACUCACAUAUCUGGAAGGAGCCAAUUUAAAGAGAACGAAAACAACAAAAUUAUUUUGGGAAGGCAUUAGUCAUUAUGCAUUAGGGAUAUCUUACAGGACAAUUAAUGGUGUCAAAUGGAGAUUCAGAAGUUUGUGGAUGCUGUCUGCAAAAUAAUCUGUAUCAAAACUCUAGCAAGGGAAGUUGUUUUAUUUUUUUUACAAGCUAGUAAGGAAAGUUAAAACACAAAAGUUCAAAAGUCUUGUUGGUAAUGUAAUUUUAUGCCUGUUCAGAAAUUGGGUCCACUCUGUCUUCUCUUGGUUCUGAAGAUAGGCCAGCAAGCGGGGAAGAAACUGCAAAAGUCGACGAGACGAGAGAAGUUUUAAUGAGAACAUGGCAUAAUCGAAUAAAAGCAGAAAAAUAAAUUCGUAAAAGUUGAUGAAAAUACCAGCUUGAACUGCUGCUGCUUCUGCUGCUUCUUUGAUCAGUCGUGCUAGUUUUAUUCUCUUCAAGAUCAACAAUGUCCUUGAGCGAGAGCUCAUAACCGCACUCUGGCAUAUCACAAAUUCUCUCCAUCAGCUCUUUCCUCGCUUCCCGUAGCCGAGAUCUAGAUAUGUUAUUACUAUAAUCAUGAUUUUGAGGUAGUAGAGGGUACGCCUCGUUUCUACAUCUACUCGUGUUCCAUAACCGCAGCGAUUUAUCAUCAAACUCUUGCUCAAAACGCUCUCCGCACUCCGACUCACUGCCCCAGAAAUUGAAUUCUCCAUCUCCCUUGCUAUCAUUUUCAUGGGUGGGAUUCAAAGAAAACAUGUUUGUAAUUAGAGGGAAUUCAAGAAAUUAUUUUCGUUUUGCUUCUUGGAAGACAAACAGCCUUUUGUCAUUUUGUAUACACGUCAUGAAGAGCAACUCAAAAGUCACUGCCGUCUUAUAUGGGGUGACAAGUAAAUGGUCAAAUUAAUCUUCUUCAAACC